UUGAGAAGUCAUUAUUAUAAUAAUAGAAUUCAUUAUUAGAACUUUCUAAUAGUAGAAAGGAAGUCUAUUUAUUUAUUUAUUUUAUUUAUUUUUUUUUUUUGAGACGGAGUCUCGCUCUGCCGCCCAGGCUGGAGUGCAGUGGCCAGAUCUCAGCUCACUGCAAGCUCCGCCUCCCGGGUUCACGCCAUUCUCCUGCCUCAGCCUCCCGAGUAGUUGGGACUACAGGCGCCCGCCACCGCGCCCGGCUAGUUUUUUGUAUUUUUUAGUAGAGACGGGGUUUCACCGUGUUUGCCAGGAUGGGGAAGUCUAUUUAUUUUAUAAAAUUGUCAGUUCAUCUUAAGAUCUAAUAGUCUUUUGCAAUUAACAGCAACCUAAUUCAGACUACCUCAAAAGAAGAAUUUAACAUUGAUUUUUGUAGAAAAAAAGCAAUUUUAAAGUAGUCUGGGAAAACUUAGGUAAGUUUUCCUUAAUCCUGACUCUUAAUUUGUGGCUAGAAGUGGCAAUGAUAUGAACAUAAGUUGUGCUAUUUAUUAAUUUAUUGCUUUUCAUAAAUCAGCCCCUUUUAUGUAAUUAGGUAAAAAGAGAAAAAUACAUUCUUGAUUUUGGUGACUAGAGUUGUGGAUGCCGGAAAGCUCUGCCACUAAGAUUGAUGAACCAGACGCAUGUCACUGGCCAGUCACAGAUUCUUAAUGCCGGCACCGUGGCCUGGCACUGUCACGUUUUCCAGGGAACCUGCCCGAGCUCCUGCAGAAGCUGCUCCUCGGGCCUAUGGAGUCCCUUAGCUGGUAGGCCCUUCUUUAGUCACCACAGGAUGCCUGCUGUUCAUGAACAGGAAGGAGAGGAUGGGCUUUGAAUAAAACACAGACUUAAAGCCCAUUUUGUGUGACAAGCAUAGCAGUGGUGACUCCUUUCCUUUCUGAUCUUCACCGAACCUCGCUUCUUCACAUUUACCGAAAUGUCUACUUAGAGCCACGGCACCUCUUUGAAUUGUCACAUCUACUGCAUGGUGAUGGUAGAUUUCCUUUUCAUCUGUACUCUGAAGGAAUCCGAAACAGGCAUUUUUACAAGUCUAGGAAGGAAACAUAAAUCUAUGUGUCAAAAGAAUGAACAUAGAAAAUAAUGUGUCCUGG
rnacentral:lncRNA from 10 species